UAAACCAAGGCUGCCCAUGUUUUCACAAGGGCUGAGCACAUCUACCGACAAAUGAUGAUUGCUACUUUAUCACAUUCUUUCUAAAUAGUCAUUGUUGACUCGGUUAACCAUAAAGGGCAAAGCAGAAUGAACUUUUGUAUCAAUUUACGUAACAAAAUGGGAAGAAUAAUAAACAUAGCUGUACACUGAAGUUAGUUUCAGUUCUUCAUCCCGAGUGACAGACGCAGAAACAGUGGGACCUAGAAGAGCAGAUGGUAAAAAGAAGCUUGAGAAAUUAUGUGGAAUCUUGAAGCAGACGAAAGAAUUUCAGAUUCUGAAGAGGAGAACACCCGGUCUUCAGAAGAUGAAAUAGACAUUGAGUGCGAGAUUCUGGAGAAAGAGCGAGAUGAGGCGAAUGAAAAGCUGUCAAGGAUGGAGGAGGCGUCUGCUCAACUGCUCAAGGAGCUGGAUGUGCUAGAGAUG